rnacentral:rRNA from 1 species
UACGGGGGGGGCAAGCGUUGUUCGGAAUUACUGGGCGUAAAGGGCUCGUAGGCGGCCAACUAAGUCAGACGUGAAAUCCCUCGGCUUAACCGGGGAACUGCGUCUGAUACUGGAUGGCUAGAGGUUGGGAGAGGGAUGCGGAAUUCCAGGUGUAGCGGUGAAAUGCGUAGAUAUCAGGAGGAACACCGGUGGCGAAGGCGGCUUUCUGGACAGAUACCGACGCUGAGGCACGAAAGCUAGGGGAGCAAACAGG